GACGAACGCUGGCGGCGUGCUUAACACAUGCAAGUCGAACGAAGUGGCGAACGGGUGAGUAACGCGUAAUCAACCUGCUCCUCUGCGGGGGUAAACAGUUGGAAACGACUGUUAUUACCGCAUACGGAAGAUGGGGUUUGCGUCUGAUUAGCUAGUUGGAGGGGUAACGGCCCACCAAGGCGAUGAUCAGUGACCGGUCGGAGGGGUUUGACGGCCACCAUGGGAAUGGAGCACGGGCCAGACUCCUACGGGAGGGAGCAAUGGGGGAACUUCAGGAAUGGAGGGAAAGCUUACGGGGGAAAGGCGGGGGGGUGAAAGCGGGCUUCGGGUUGUAAAGCUCUGUUAGUCGGGGCGCGGUACCGGAAUAGAAAGCCACGGCUAACUACGUGCCAGCAGCCGCGGUAAUAC
rnacentral:rRNA from 1 species